rnacentral:snoRNA from 1 species
UUGUGAAUAUCAUAAUCAGGGCAAUCUAAGCAUUCACUACUAUGUAAGACCAUACAUGUGUCCCCAUAUCUAGUUCUUUACCUACCUAGGCUCUUCCAAUAAAUGCUGGUGUUAAAU